rnacentral:rRNA from 1 species
AUAUGGUCAAGCGAAAAGAGGUCUAUGGCGGAUGCCUAAGGGCUUCGGAAGGCGAAGAAGGCGUGAUAAGCUGCGAAAAGCCGCGGGGAGAAGCACAUAUUCAAUGAUCCGCGGAUAGCCAGAUAGGGUAACCCGACAACUUAAAAGGUUGUCACUGCGACGUCUGAAUAAAAUAGGGGUGGCGAGACCGGAGUGAAGUGAACCAUCUAAGUAACCCGAGGAAAAGAAAACAAAAGAGAUUCCGUAAGUAGCGGCGAGCGAAAGCGGAGGAGCCCAAACCACGCAAGUGGGGUUGAAGGGCCGCAUGGGGAUGACCCGAAAAGUUAGGAGAAAACAUACUUAUAGCAGAAAGGUUUUGGAAAAGCCUGUCAAAAGAGCGUGAAAGCCGCGUAAGCAAAAUAUGAUAUAAACUUUUUGAUGCGGUACAGUACAGCCUUGGGAGCUUUGAAGACCCUGUCGGAAUCCGGGUCGACCACACGAUCAAGGCUAAAUGCUAAUCAGCUACCGAUAGCGAAAAGUACCGUGAGGAAAGGCGAAAAAAAACCCCGGUAAGGGGUGAAAUAGAACCUGAAACCAUGAAAGACUAAUAGAGAUGUCCGCAGCCGAAAAACAGCGGUAGUGGCGUGUCUUUUUGUAAGAAUAAACCUGCGAGUUACGGUAUGCAGCGAGGUUAAGAAUGUGGUAGUUCCGGAGCCGGAGCGAAAGCGAGUCUGAAAAGGGCGAAGUUGCGUAAUCGUGAAAGACCCAGAAGCCAAGGUGAUCUAGUUAUGGGCAGGUUGAAGCAAAGGGUAAAACCUUGUGGAGGACGAACAGCCCAAUCUGUUAAAAGGUAGUGACCUGUGACUAGGAGUGAAGGCUAAACAAACCUGGAAAUAGCUGGCUCUCCCAGAAAUGCCUUUAGGGACAGCCUCAGCACAAAACUGUCGGAGGUAAAGCACUGGAUGGACUAGGGGUGUCAAAACCACCACCGAAACCAAUCAAACUCUCUGAAUACCGACAGUCAUCGUAUGGGAGUGAGACUGUGUGCUCAGGUUCAUAGUCGAAGGAAGCAGCCCAGACCGGCGACUAAGGUGCAAAAUCAUCUGAGUGUGAAAUGAAGUGCGGAUGAAAUACAGCCAGGAGGACUAGCUUAGAAGCAGCCAUUCCUUAAAAGAGUGCGUAACAGCUCACUGGUCGAGCACCUGUGCGCAGACAAUGUAACGGGAGCUAAGCAUGAUACCGAAGUCACGGACUCAUAACGAAAGUUAUGAUUGGGAAGAACAUUGCGUAACCUGAGAAGGCAAACCUGUGAGGGAUGCUGGAGGAGAUGGAAGAGAAUGCAGGUAUAAGUAACGAAAAGACGGGUGAGAUCCCCGUCCGCCGAAAAGCCCCUAAGGUUUCCUGGGUGAGAAACGAAAUGCAGGGUAAAGUCGGCCCCUAAGGCAAGGACGAAGUCAGUAGUCGAUGGGAAGUGGUUUAUAAUCAGCCUUUAAGUAUUGAAGGUAUGACGCAUGAGGUGAAAGAGAAAUCCACGGCCGGAGAGAUGGUAGUUCAGUCAAAGCGGUAAGUUAGUGAAGAGUGGGUUAAAAGACACUCUGAGAUGAGCCGUGACAGCGAGCGGAGAGAAAGUCGAAGUGAAGCGGACGUAAUCAAAGUGCCUGGAAAUAGUGUCUAAGUUAGGCUUAAGACCGUACCAGAGCAGAAACUUUAGGUAAGGUAGGGAUGAAAUCUAAGGCGCACGAGCGACCGCAAAGCGUUAAGGAACUCCGGCAAAAUGCGCGCAUGGCUUCGGAAGAAGUGCAUUUGCACUUUAAUCAAGAUUGUGAGGCGACACAAAGCAGGCCCGAGCGACUGUUUGUCAAAAAGCACAGAAGCGCAUCUGGAACCAGCAAUGGGACGUAUAGGUGGUGACACCUGCCCGGUACUGGAAGGUUAAGAGGCGGUUAUCCGUAAGGAGAAGCGUCAAGGCCCCAGCAAACGGCGGCCAUCUAACUAUAACGGUCCUAAAGGUAGCGGAAAUUCGCGUCGGUGGUUCGACCCGCACGAAUGGUGUAACGAUUGCAGGGCGCUGUCUCAACGCGAGACUAAAGUGAGAAUUAUAUUCCGGUAAAGAAGCCGGAUACCCGUAACCUAGACGGAAAGGCCCGUAGAACCUUCACGUAGCUUACUAUUGGGAUUCUAUUCAUCAUGUGUAGAAUAGUUGGGGAGGCAGUGAUGCGUGGCCGUUAGGUUGCGAAGAAACCGAAAAAGUGAAAUACCAACCUUGAUGAAUGAAUUACAACCUGUGCCGUGAAGCCGUUGCGAGAAGAGAGGACAAUGUGGCGACGGUUUUUGACUGGGGCAGUCGCCUCUAAAGAAGUAACGGAGGUGCGCGAAGAUCUCCUCGCGGGUGGUUAAAGAAAUCAUCAUUGCGAGUGUAAAGCAAAGGCACAAGGAGGCUUGCGAGAAAGACAUUUCGAGCAGGUACAGUAGGUCUUAAUGAUCUGGUGGUUCGGCGUGUGGAAGGGCCAUCACUUAACGGAUAAUACUCCGGGGAUAACAGGCUGAUUUUCCCAAGGUUCCACAUCGACGAGGAAGUUUGGCACCUCGAUGUCCGGCUCAUCGCAUCCUGGGGCUGGAGCAGGUCAAGGGUUUGGCUGUUCGCCAAUUAAAGCGGUACGUGAGCUGGGUUCAGAACGUCGCGAGACGCAGUUCGGUCCCCUAUCUGUUACGGGCGAUGGAUGUUUGAGAGGAGCUGCUUUUAGUACAGGAAGGGCCCAGAAGUGGACGAACACCUCUGGUUUACCAGUUAUCCUGCAAGGGUAAGUGCUGGGUAUCUAAGUUCGGAAGGGAUAACCGCUGAAAGCAUCUAAGCGGGAAGCCCACCCCAAGAUAAGACAUCCCUGAGGGUUUAACCCUCCUAAAGACUCCGGAGACACUAUCCGGUUGAUAGGCUGCAGGUGUAAGCGUCGUGAGGCGUUCAGCCAAGCAGUACUAAUAAGUCGUGAGGCUUGACCAUAU